rnacentral:rRNA from 1 species
GAUGAACGCUGGCGGCGUGCCUAAUACAUGCAAGUCGAGCGAACAGACGAGGAGCUUGCUCCUCUGACGUUAGCGGCGGACGGGUGAGUAACACGUGGAUAACCUACCUAUAAGACUGGGAUAACUUCGGGAAACCGGAGCUAAUACCGGAUAAUAUAUUGAACCGCAUGGUUCAAUAGUGAAAGACGGUUUUGCUGUCACUUAUAGAUGGAUCCGCGCCGCAUUAGCUAGUUGGUAAGGUAACGGCUUACCAAGGCAACGAUGCGUAGCCGACCUGAGAGGGUGAUCGGCCACACUGGAACUGAGACACGGUCCAGACUCCUACGGGAGGCAGCAGUAGGGAAUAUUCCGCAAUGGGCGAAAGCCUGACGGAGCAACGCCGCGUGAGUGAUGAAGGUCUUCGGAUCGUAAAACUCUGUUAUUGGGGAAGAAAAAAUGUGUAAGUAACUCUGCACGUCUUGACGGUACCUAAUCAGAAAGCCACGGCUAACUACGUG